AUGAUCAGGUUCCCUAUGACGGUUCUCUGGGUGGACAUGAAUGAGCCGUCGAACUUCGUGACUGGUUCCAUUACGGGCUGCACCAGCAACUCCCUCGACAACCCCCCCUUUGUGCCCCCCACUAUCGAUGGGUCGAGCCUGAUGGCAUCGACUGUGUGUCCAUCCGGGCCAGACAAAGCAUCUCCACCCACUACAACCUGCACAACAUGUACGGACUCAGCGAGAUGAAGGUGACCAGCAGUGUGUUGAAGAAGUUACUGAACAAG